GUGUCAGCAGCCGCGGUAAGACAGAGGGUGCAAACGUUGUUCGGAAUCACUGGGCAUAAAGCGCACGUAGGCCGUCCGCUAAGUCUGAUGUGAAAUACCCCGGCUCAACCGGGGAACUGCAUCUGAUACUGGCGGACUCGAGGAUGGUUGGGGUGAGCGGAACUCCAGGUGGAGCGGUGAAAUGCGUAGAUAUCUGGAGGAACACCGGUGGCGAAAGCGGCUCACUGGACCAUCUCUGACGCUGAGGUGCGAAAGCUAGGGGAGCAAACGGGAUUAGAUACCCCCGUAGUCC
rnacentral:rRNA from 1 species